AUACGGAGGGUCCAAGCGUUAUCCGGAUUCAUUGGGUUUAAAGGGUUCGUAGGCGGAUAAAUAAGUCAGUGGUGAAAUCCCGAAGCUCAACUUCGGAACUGCCAUUGAAACUGUUUAUCUUGAAUUUAGUUGAAGUGGGCGGAAUAUGACAUGUAGCGGUGAAAUGCAUAGAUAUGUCAUGGAACACCAAUAGUGAAGACAGCUCACUAAGCCAAUAUUGACGCUGAUGAACGAAAGCAUGGGUAGCGAACAGGAUUAGAAACCCCAGUAGUCC
rnacentral:rRNA from 1 species